UAUGUGCAGUCCUUCACGUUUGCCCUUUGUACUAUUCUGUGCUUGGGGUUUAUAAGGACUGCAAAGAGAAAAUAAAGGAAGUUUAGGCGUGACUGCAGAAGUAGCAGUUCUACGUGCGAUAUUUCUUUGACACUCCCAUCCUAUUUCCACGGUGGUGACAGAUUCACCGGUUUUGUCAUCCAUCAACAGGUAGCUAACAGGUAGAGAGAAGCGUUUGCAGUGUAAUAUUUGGCGACACAAGUUAUGUUUCCCCAAACAUUCAGAACUGCCACACUU